rnacentral:misc_RNA from 1 species
UCUCCGUUGGUGAACCAGCGGAGGGAUCAUUACCGAGUUUACAACACCCAAACCCCUGUGAACAUACCAUUUGUUGCCUCGGCGGUGCCUGCUUCGGCAGCCCGCCAGAGGACCCAAACCCUUGAUUUUAUACAGUAUCUUCUGAGUAAAUGAUUAAAUAAGUCAAAACUUUCAACAACGGAUCUCUUGGUUCUG